rnacentral:tRNA from 1 species
GUGGCGCAGUGCUAAGCAUUUGGCUGCUAACCAAAAAGUUAGUGGUUCAAACCCACUC